GAUGAAGAACGUAGUGAAAUGCGAUAAGUAAUGUGAAUUGCAGAAUUCAGUGAAUCAUCGAAUCUUUGAACGCACAUUGCGCCCGCCAGUAUUCUGGCGGGCAUGCCUGUUCGAGCGUCAUUUCAACCAUCAAGCUCCCGGGCUUGCGUUGGGGCCCUGCGGCUGCCGCAGGCCCCUAAAACCAGUGGCGGGCUCGCUGUCACACCGAGCGCAGUAGCAUUUCUUCGCUCUGGGCGCGGCGGCGGGCGCUUGCCGUAGAACAUACCACUUUUUAAAGGUUGACCUCGGAUCAGGUAGGAAUACCCGCUGAACUUAAGCAUAUCAAUAAGCGGAGGA
rnacentral:misc_RNA from 1 species